rnacentral:rRNA from 1 species
GAUGAACGCUGGCGGCGUGCCUAAUACAUGCAAGUCGAGCGAACGGACGAUAAGCUUGCUUCUCUGAUGUUAGCGGCGGACGGGUGAGUAACACGUGUAUAACCUACCUAUAAGACUGGGAUAACUUCGGGAAACCGGAGCUAAUACCGGAUAAUAUUUUGAACCGCAUGGUUCAAAAGUGAAAGACGGUCUUUCUGUCACUUAUAGAUGGUUCCGCGCUGCAUUAGCUAGUUGGUAAGGUAACGGCUUACCAAGGCAACGAUGCAUAUCCGAACUGAGAGGGGGAUAGGAGACACGGGAAGUGAGAAACGGACAAGAAGCCUACGGGAGGCAGCAGUAGGGAAUAGUACGCAAUGGGAGAAAGAAUGACGGAGCAACGCCGAGUGAGUGAUGAAGGUAUUCGGAUCGUAAAACUCUGUUAUUAGGGAAGAAAAUAUGUGUAAGUAACUGUGCACAUCUUGACGGUACCUAAUCAGAAAGCCACGGCUAACUACGUG